GAAAUGCGAUAAGUAAUGUGAAUUGCAGAAUUCAGUGAAUCAUCGAAUCUUUGAACGCACAUUGCGCCCGCCAGUAUUCUGGCGGGCAUGCCAGUUCGAGCGUCAUUUCAACCAUCAAGCCCCCGGGCUUGUGUUGGGGACCUGCGGCUGCCGCAGGCCCCGAAAACCAGUGGCGGGCUCGCUGUCACACCGGGCGUAGUAGAUUUUUCGUCUCGCCCAGGGCGUGCUGCGGGUUCCGGCCGUUAAAAAGCCUCUCUUUUUAACCCAAGGUUGACCUCGGAUCAGGUAGGAAGACCCGCUGAACUUAAGC
rnacentral:misc_RNA from 1 species